UAUUCUACCUACACUGGACCACCACGUUUGAAAUAUCUUUUUCAGUUAGUCAGACACAAACCAUAGUAGCUUAGUGUACAAUACUACCUACACUGGGACCUCCGCGUUUGAGAUAUUUUUUUUCAGGUCCUGAAAAAGAUAUCUCAAACGUGGUAGCCUGUGUAGGUAGUAAUCUACAAUAAGCUGUCGUGGUUUGUGUCUGAACUACCUGAAAAAGAUAUCUCAAACGUGGUGGUCCAGUGUAGAUAGUAUU